GACGAACGCUGGCGGCGUGCCUAAUACAUGCAAGUAGAACGCUGAAGGAGGAGCUUGCUUCUCUGGAUGAGUUGCGAACGGGUGAGUAACGCGUAGGUAACCUGCCUGGUAGCGGGGGAUAACUAUUGGAAACGAUAGCUAAUACCGCAUAAGAGUAGAUGUUGCAUGACAUUUGCUUAAAAGGUGCAAUUGCAUCACUACCAGAUGGACCUGCGUUGUAUUAGCUAGUUGGUGGGGUAACGGCUCACCAAGGCGACGAUACAUAGCCGACCUGCGAGGGGGAGCGGCCACACUGGGAGGGAGACACGGCCCAGAGUCCUUCGGGAGGGAGCAGUAGGGAAUCUUCGGGAAGGGACGGAAGUCUGACCGAGAAACGCCGCGGGAGGGAAGAAGGUUGUCGGAUCGGAAAGGUCGGUUGUAAGGGAAGAAAGAGUGUGAGAGUGGAAAGUUCACACUGUGACGGUAUCUUACCAGAAAGGGACGGCUAACUACGUG
rnacentral:rRNA from 1 species